rnacentral:tRNA from 1 species
GCCUUUGUCGCUCAGCCGGUGGAGCAGCGGUUUUGUAAACCGAAGGUCGGCGGUUCGAUCGCGUCCGCGGGCACC